UACGUAGGUGGCAAGCGUUGUCCGGAUUUACUGGGCGUAAAGAGCGCGCAGGCGGUCGAGUAAGUCGAAUGUGAAAGCCCCCGGCUUAACUGGGGAGGGUCAUUCGAUACUGUCGGACUCGAAGGCAGGAGAGGGAAGCGGAAUUCCCGGUGUAGUGGUGAAAUGUGUAGAGAUCGGGAGGAACACCGGUGGCGAAGGCGGGUCUCUGGGCAUCUCCUGACGCUGAGGCGCGAAAGCGUGGGGAGCAAACGGG
rnacentral:rRNA from 1 species